rnacentral:rRNA from 1 species
UACAGAGGUCUCAAGCGUUGUUCGGAUUCAUUGGGCGUAAAGGGUGCGUAGGCGGCGCGGUAAGUCGGGUGUGAAAUCUUGGAGCUUAACUCCGAAACUGCAUUCGAUACUGCCGUGCUUGAGGACUGGAGAGGAGACUGGAAUUUACGGUGUAGCGGUGAAAUGCGUAGAUAUCGUAAGGAAGACCAGUGGCGAAGGCGGGUCUCUGGGC